ensembl:lncRNA
GUUUUGGUUUUUUUGCCACGAGGCAUAGGGAUCUUAGUUCCCGGACUAGGAGUUGAACUCACACUCCCUGUACUGGAAGGCAGAUUCUUAACCACUGGACUGCCAGAGAAGUCCCUUGGGUCUCCUUUAUUUUUGCAUCUCAGACUUGGGUCCUCAAACCCCUACCCCCAUCAUAAAUGUUGGCUGGGUGAAUGGACAGUUAGUGCAUCCACUUGCCCAGGUGCUGUGUGAACCUGGGGCUGGUGAGUUUCCAUAGAGAUGGGCCAACAGGGCUCCCGUGGGGUGGGGACCUGGGUUUAGCUGUCAGCUUCUGAAGCAGACUCUCAUUGCCAGCCAUCCCUGGUGGGUGCUCUCUGCAGGCCUCAAAACCAUCGACUGGAUAAGCAGAUGCCUAUGGGUAGCAGGCUGCCUGAUUUCAGGUGGCAGUGGUGCCAGUGGGCACCUGGAGUCCAUGUUUCCCUCGCACAUGAGUGGUUUUGUUGGGCGCAGAUAUAAACCUUCCCUUUUCCUGGGCAGUAAAAGAAUAGAGCUUCUGAAAAGCGAUGGAAAAACAAAUCAAGCAGGGCUGCGCUAUGGAAAACACGCUCUCUCUCUCUCUCAUAAAAAGAGACCAGCUUUACUGUUCCAUCUGAAUUAGUCACUGGUCCGUGCCAAGGUGACUGGUUAAAUGCUUGAGGGAAGAGGUCAGAGUCAUAAGGUUACAUGGGAAAACUUGGGGGCUAGACUCUCACCAGAAAUAAGGGAGGAAAUGACAAGUGCUUUCAGAUUUAUAGUAAAUGGGAUGCUAAAAUAGUCAACCAUUUGGAUAUUGCUAUGUUAUCAAUCCAAUUAACCUUGCUUCAUGUUACCCAGUGUGUUCAGCGAUACUGAUGGGGUCCAAAGUGAUAUGAAAUGCCCCACUGCUGAUGGUGAUCCCGGAUAAGAGAGAAAAUACAGCUCUUGGAGUCCCGAGUUUGGAAGAGCAGUGAAUUUCAAUUCCCAAGUUAUGAAGGCAGCGAUAACCUGUGAUUUGGUUGCAAACGAAGAUGGUUUUCAUUUUAUCAGCAACGUAAAUUUGUCAAAAUCGUCAGCAGGACUGGCUGUGACCUGUCAUCCCCUCCCCAGAGCUCCCCUAACCCCCGGAGUUGGCCUGGAGCCCCUCAGCACCUGGGCUCCCCUCCCCCUGCACCCGUCUGGGCUGGCCACAUCUUAUUCACUGGCUCAUCCUCCUCCAGGUGAGAUGUGUACCUCUGUGGGCAGAGAUUUGGAUGCUAUUCACCUUUGAAGUCUCAGCACCAACAAACAGCUGUUGAGAGAUCCAG